GCCUGGGUGGCUCAGUAAGUUAAGCGUCUGACUUUGGCUCAGGUCAUGAUCUCCCGGUUGGUGGGUUUGAGCCCCAUGUCAGGCU
rfam:Felis catus isolate Cinnamon breed Abyssinian chromosome A1, whole genome shotgun sequence.